rnacentral:rRNA from 1 species
UACGGGGGGGGCAAGCGUUGUUCGGAAUUACUGGGCGUAAAGGGCUCGUAGGCGGCCAACUAAGUCGGAUGUGAAAUCCCCAGGCUUAACCUGGGAACUGCGUCCGAUACUGGAAGGCUUGAAUCCGGGAGAGGGAUGCGGAAUUCCAGGUGUAGCGGUGAAAUGCGCAGAUAUCAGGAGGAACACCCGUAGCGAAGGCGGCACUCUGGGCCGAUACUGACACUGAGGAGCGAAAGCGUGGGGAGCGAACAGG